GAAAAAGGGAGAAGGUUUGGAUCCAUUAAAACGUUUAAUCCCGUUGCAAAUGUUUGCACCUGUCCUAAGUCAGGAAUGUGAUGUACAGUACUUGUCGUUUGUUUAUGUAAUUUAUACGUGUUUCUCGUGUCUCGUUUUUUUAAAAUUUUUAUAUAGAUUAGACCGUUGGUUUUCCCGUUUGAAUGGUUUUACACUAGUAAUUUUGGG
rnacentral:lncRNA from 1 species